AGCAGCCGCGGUAAUUCCAGCUCCAAUAGCGUAUAUUAAAGUUGUUGCAGUUAAAAAGCUCGUAGUUGAAUUUCGAGACCGGUUUACUGGUCGUGCUUUUGUACGUACUGGUAUUAUUGGUUUCUCCUUUCUGACGAAUCAUAAUGCCAUUAAUUUGGUGUUUUAGGGAAUCAGGACUGUUACUUUGAAAAAAUUAGAGUGUUUAAAGCAGGCUCACGCUUGAAUACAUUAGCAUGGAAUAACGAAAUAGGACGUUUGAUUCUAUUUUGUUGGUUUCUAGGAUCGACGUAAUGAUUAAUAGGGAUAGUUGGGGGCAUUAGUAUUCAAUUGUCAGAGGUGAAAUUCUUGGAUUUAUUGAAGACUAACUACUGCGAAAGCAUUUGCCAAGGAUGUUUUCAUUAAUCAAGAACGAAAGUUAGGGGAUCGAAGACGAUCAGAUACCGUCGUAGUCUUAACCAUAAACUAUGCCGACUAGGGAUCGGAUGAUGUUAAAUUAAUGAACUCAUUCGGCACCGUUACG
rnacentral:rRNA from 1 species